GUAAAUAUAGUUUAAUAAAAACAUCAGAUUGUGAAUCUAAUAAUGGAAGUGCAAGUCUUCUUAUUUACC
rnacentral:tRNA from 1 species